CACAGAACUACAUGCUAACAAAUAAAUGCGCUGAGCUGCUAAGUUUGUGGUGAUUUGUUACAUAGCAAUAGAAAGGAACCCAGGACAACCUUCUAUUGCUAAGAUCAAGGUUAAAGAUCUGUGAGUGACAGCCCGGCCAGUGUGCUAUCGCAACAUAAUGGACAAACCAGAAGGACUAGUGUGACUCCUAAAGGUUCAGGACAGUUCAGGACACACUACCCCCAAAUAUGGUACCUUUGGAACUGUGGAAACAGCAG